CUGUUUCGGCUAGGGGGCCAUCCCGGCUUACCAACCCGAUGCAAACUGCGAAUACCGGAGAAUGUUAUCACGGGAGACACACGGCGGGUGCUAACGUCCGUCGUGAAGAGGGAAACAACCCAGACCGCCAGCUAAGGUCCCAAAGUCAUGGUUAAGUGGGAAACGAUGUGGGAAGGCCCAGACAGCCAGGAUGUUGGCUUAGAAGCAGCCAUCAUUUAAAGAAAGCGUAAUAGCUCACUGGUCGAGUCGGCCUGCGCGGAAGAUGUAACGGGGCUAAACCAUGCACCGAAGCUGCGGCAGCGAACGUAUCACCCAAGACAACUUUACGGAGUUGACGAUUGACGGAGCGAAGCGACGUCAAAGCGUUCAUUAAAGUCGAGUUGGCUUAGGGAUACGUUCGUUGGGUAGGGGAGCGUUCUGUAAGCCUGUGAAGGUGUGUCGUGAGGCAUGCUGGAGGUAUCAGAAGUGCGAAUGCUGACAUAAGUAACGAUAAAGCGGGUGAAAAGCCCGCUCGCCGGAAGACCAAGGGUUCCUGUCCAACGUUAAUCGGGGCAGGGUGAGUCGACCCCUAAGGCGAGGCCGAAAGGCGUAGUCGAUGGGAAACGGGUUAAUAUUCCCGUACUUGGUGUUACUGCGAAGGGGGGACGGAGAAGGCUAUGUUGGCCGGGCGACGGUUGUCCCGGUUUAAGCGUGUAGGUGUGU
rnacentral:rRNA from 1 species